CCCUUAGAUGUCCUGGGCAGCACGCGCGCUACACUGGAAGUUACGGAUUGAGAUACUACCUUGUCCGAAAUGGUCCGGGUAAUCACCUAAAAGCUUGUCAUAAUUGGAAUGGAUUAUUGUAACUAGUAAUCCUGAACGAGGAAUUCCUAGUAAGUCCCAGUCAACAGCUGGUACUGAUUACGUCCCUGCCCUUUGUACACACCGCCCGUCGCUACUACUGAUUGGACGUUUAAGCAAGAUUUUUAAACACUGACAGUGUGUAGUUCACGCUAUACUACAGUGAGAAGAAGAAGAUCGAGCUUACUUGUCUAGAGGAAGUAAAAGUCGUAACA
rnacentral:rRNA from 1 species